GCGGAGUGAGAGGAGCUCAGUCUGCUCCCCUCUCCCUCCCUCCUGAAGGAGAGAGAGGGGAGCAGAGUGAGCAUGCUCAGUCUGCUCCCCUCUCUCUCUCUCUCUCCUUCAGGAGGGAGAGAGAGGGGAGCGGAGUGAGCUCCUCUCAGUCUGU